rnacentral:rRNA from 1 species
GUCCACGCCGUAAACGAUGAUGACUAGCUGUCGGGGCUCAUGGAGUUUCGGUGGCGCAGCUAACGCGUUAAGUCAUCCGCCUGGGGAGUACGGCCGCAAGGUUAAAACUCAAAGAAAUUGACGGGGGCCUGCACAAGCGGUGGAGCAUGUGGUUUAAUUCGAAGCAACGCGCAGAACCUUACCAGCGUUUGACAUGGUAGGACGGUUUCCAGAGAUGGAUUCCUUCCCUUACGGGACCUACACACAGGUGCUGCAUGGCUGUCGU